rnacentral:rRNA from 1 species
UACAUGGGGUGCAAACGUUGCUCGGAAUUAUUGGGCGUAAAGCGCACGUAGGUGGUCUGUUAUGUCAGAUGUGAAAGCCCUUGGCUUAACCGAGGAAGUGCAUCCGAAACUGGCGAGCUAGAGUACUAAAGAGGAUCGCGGAAUUCCCGGUGUAGAGGUGAAAUUCGUAGAUAUCGGGAGGAACACCGGUGGCGAAGGCGGCGAUCUGGGUAGAUACUGACGCUGAGGUGCGAAAGCGUGGGGAGCAAACAGG